GAUGAACGCUGGCGGCGUGCCUAAUACAUGCAAGUCGAGCGAACAGAUAAGGAGCUUGCUCCUUUGACGUUAGCGGCGGACGGGUGAGUAACACGUGGAUAACCUACCUAUAAGACUGGGAUAACUUCGGGAAACCGGAGCUAAUACCGGAUAACAUAUUGAACCGCAUGGUUCAAUAGUGAAAGGCGGCUUUGCUGUCACUUAUAGAUGGAUCCGCGCCGUAUUAGCUAGUUGGUAAGGUAACGGCUUACAAAGGCAACGAUACGUAGCCGAGCGGAGAUGGUGAUCGGCGACACUGGAACUGAGACACGGUCCAGACUCCUACGGGAGACAGCAGUAGGGAAUCUUCCGCAAUGGGCGAAAGCCUGACGGAGCAACGCCGCGUGAGUGAUGAAGGUCUUCGGAUCGUAAAACUCUGUUAUCAGGGAAGAACAAAUGUGUAAGUAACUGUGCACAUCUUGACGGUACCUGAUCAGAAAGCCACGGCUAACUACGUGCCAGCAGCCGCGGUAA
rnacentral:rRNA from 1 species